AUACCUUUCUCGGCCUUUUGACUAAGAUCAAGUGUAGUAUCUGUUCUUAGGGGAGAGCAUGGGCCGGUUCGGCUCGGUUUUUGGACAAAACCGGAACCAUAUAUCUUCGGUUUUUAAAAUCGAAAACCGCAACCGCCGGUUCGGAUUCGGUUUCGGUUUAAAAAUCCCGGUUUGGUUAUAAUCGGCCCGGUUUCGGUUACAAAAC
rfam:Daucus carota subsp. sativus cultivar DH1 chromosome 6, whole genome shotgun sequence.